rnacentral:lncRNA from 1 species
GUAGCACCGUGUCAUCAUUCCGGUGACUACUUUCUUUUAUCUAAUUUAUGUAGCACCGUGCCAUCUUUCCGGUGACUACUUUUUCAUAUUUAAUUUGUGUAGCACCGUGCCAUCCUUCCUGUGACUAUCUUUUUCAUAUUUAAUUUGUGUAACACCGUGCCAUCCUUCGGUGACUACUUUUAAUUUUUCAUAUCUGGUUUAUGUAGCACCGUGCCAUCCUUCCGGUGACUAUCUUUUUUUGCAUAUCUGAUUUGCGUAGCACAGUGCAUCUCUCCGAACUACUUUUCAUAUUUAAUUUGUGUAGUACUGUGGAUUUUUCCAAACUACUUUCUCAUAACUGAGUAGCAUAGCAUCAUGUGUCUUUUCACUGACUCCUCAGAUUUGAUUUGCAUAGUUCCAUUCGUCUUUCCGAUUACUCCUCAAAUCUAAUUUGCAUAGGGUUGUGCCAUCAUUCCAACCCUACCUGUAUAAUUUCUCUUUUUUAGUAGGAUUGUGUCAUCAUUCUAAUCCCACCUAUAUUAUUUCUCUUUUUCAAUAGGGUCGUGCCAUCAAUCCGACCUUUCCUAUAUAAUUUCUAUUUUCUAGUUGGGUCGUGACAUCAUUUCGACCCUACCCAUAUAAUAUUAUUUGUUAGAUUGUGAUCACUUUCAACCAUCAAAUCUAAUACUCCAACGUAUGAGCAUGUUCCGACCAAUUUUUUCGGUAACUUUCUUGUUUAAUAUCGACUCACUAUUGAUUCCAAUAUGAUCCAUAUACUUUAUACCAGAUUUUGAGCACUUUGUUGCUCAGGGGGAGUUUAGUAGCCAUGUAUGUUGAUUACGUAAGUCACUCUAUGGUUUGAAACAGUCUUUGCAAGCUUGGUUUGGGAUGUUCCAACACUAUAAUUUUAGCACUCCGUGUUUUAUCGGCAUUAUGCAUCAAAUUCAGUAUUUCAUGAGAAGACCAAGCACAUUGAGAUUGAUUGUCAAUUUUGUGAAGUCGAGUGAUCAACUUGCAGAUAUCUCACCAUGCCCCUCAUCGAUCCUCGUAUUAAUUACAUUUGUAACAAGCUAGGUACAUGAAUUGUAUGCACUAUCUUGAGGGGGAGUGUUAGAAUAUGAAUAGGUUUAUACAAUCUUAUUAGAAUAGGAAUAGGUUUAGACAAUCCUAUUAGAAUAGGAAUAGGAAUAGAAAUAGAAAUAGAAAUAGGAAUACUAAAUAGUAUCCUACUUGGUAAAGGAUUGUAUUCUAGAUUCUAUAAAUAGGGUCUCAAUGUAAUAAUGUAAACCACAACAAUUCAAUAAUAUUCUUUUCCUAUAUUUCUCACACAUGUCACAAACUCAAAAACAAUGGCCAAACAAUUCCCAGCACCCUUCUUAAUUUAUUUAUUUCUUUAUUGUUGUAGUGGUCACAUUCAAUAGACAAUGCACAAGACUGUCGAUUGCUUGCUGCUAGGUUGGUUUUUGUACAAUGGAAGAAAAUCGAAAAUCUGGGAAGCUAUUCACAUUUGCCUAGUCUAACAAAUCUAGUUGGACUCAUGGCCUGGUUUUCAUGAACUCUCUCCAGAUGGAAGAAAGAUAGAUUUUUAAAACACCGUAGUAACUAUUGUCAACUUUUGGUGACAGAUAGGCUAUCUUCUGCAGGGCGAUGCUUCUGACGGAAUUUCUCCUAAGUUCAGAAAAAAUCACUCAUUUAUCUCCAAUGUAUGAACCCCAUAUUCAGGGGAAGAAAACUCAAUCAAACAGGUCACCAUGCGUCAAUUUUUGGUGACUUUCUAGGGUUGUUUUGUGUCAACCCCAUAUACGUCGAUAUUUGUGUAGCACCAUGCCAUCUUUUCAGUGACUACUUUCUUAUAUCUAAUUUGUGUAGCACCGCGCCAUCUUUUCGGUAACUACUCUUUUAUAUUUAAUUUGUGUAGCACCGUGCCAUCUUUCCGGUGACUACUUUUUCACAAUUAAUUUUGUAGCACCGUGCCAUCAUUCGGGUGACUACUUCUCAUAUCUGAUUUGUGUAGCAUCGUGCCAUCAUUCUGGUAACUACUUUCUCAUAUCUUAUAUGUGUAGCACCGUGCCAUCCUUCCAGUGACUACUUUUUCAUAUUUAAUUGUUGUGGCACCGUGCAUCAUUCUGGUGACUACUUUCUUAUAUCUUAUAUGUGUAGCACAAUGCCAUCCUUCCGGUGAUUACUUUUUCAUAUUUAAUUUGUAUAGCACCAUGCCAUCCUUCUGGUGACUACUUUAUUUCAUAUCUGAUUUGCAUAGCACCGUGCAUCUUUUCGAACUACUCCUUCAUAUUUAAUUUGCAUAGUACCAUGGGCUACUUUAUUUCAUAUCCGAGUACCGUGGGAUUUUUCCGAACUACUUUCUCAUAACUGAGCUGCAUAGCACUGUGUCGUUUCAGUGACUCCUCAUAUUUGAUUUGCAUAGUUCCAUUCGUUUUUCUCGUGACUCCUCAAAUCUGAUUUGCGUAGGGUUGUGCCAUCAUUCUAAUCUUACCCGUAUAACUCUCUUUCUCAGUUAGAUCGUGCCAUCAUUCCAACCCUACCCGUAUAAUUUUAUUUUUCAAAUUGUGACCACUUCCCACCAUCAAAUUUAAUACUUCGGCAUAUGAGCAUGUUUAGAUUUUGAGCACUUCCGACAACCACUGCAUUGUGAAGAAAUCUAUAUGGAGCAACCACCUAAUUUUGUUACUCAGGAGGAGUUUAGUAGCCUUGUAUGUCGAUUACGUAAGUCACUCCAUGGUCUGAAAUAGUCUUUGCAAGCUUGAUUUGGGAAGUUCAACACUGUAAUUUUAUCACUCCUUGUUUUAUCAACACUAUGCAUCAAAUUCAGUAUUUCAUGAGAAGACCAAGUUCAUUGAGAUUGACUAACAUUAUACAUCAAAUUCAGGAUUUCAUGAGAAGACUAAGCACAUUGAUAUUGACUAUCAAUUUUGUGAAGUAGAGUGAUCAACUUGCAGAUAUCUCACCAAACUCCUCAUCGGUCAUCAUAUUAAUUACAUUUGUAACAAGCUAGAUACAUAUGAUUUGUAUGCACUAGCUUGAGGGGGAGUGUUAGAAUAGUAAUAGGUAUAUACAAUUCUACUUAGAAUAGGAAUAGGAUUAGUAUAUAGUGUCCUACUUAGAAAAGGAUUGUAUUGUAGUGUCCUAGUUGGAAAAGGUGUCUAUUGUAGCGUUUAUAAAUAGGGGUCUCUCUAUAAUAAUGUAGAGACAACAAUUCAAUAAUAUUCUUUUUCUAUAUUUCUCACAUAUAAUUAGAAUGAUUUUAGGCCAAAAACAGCAAGAAAGACCCAAAAGAUGGAUUGGAGUGCAAAGCAAAGUGUCUCGGACUAAAUUGCAGCCAAUUGGACUGCAACAGAGGAGUUAGUGGGGCGAGGCGGCCUACCGCGCAUUGGGCCUCACCCGCACCUGUUCAAAGCGAAGAUUCAAAGACUUGAUUUUCUUGCGAUGAUUUUGCAAUGCACGAAGGAGGCAAGAGUUUGAGAUAGACCCCGCAUUGCAACCGCGUGAGCCACACGAUGGGAUCCACACCGCAACCACUCUGUUAACCUAACUAAAGUUGACCAAGUCAAAGCAAAGUUCAAUCGAGGUUAGGAUUUCGACCUUAUUGUUAUAUAUAUGUCAUUAAGACAAUGUUUUAAGGGUUAGAAAUUAAUCCUAAGAAUUAGAUAUUGUUAGUAGAAGUUAGGGAUUACUCAUAGCAUAGAAGAUUCAUUAUUCUUCAGUUUUUAGGAUUUAAUUAUAGUGUCUUUAUAGAUUGUUGUGGAAUGAACAUGAUACUCUGGCAAGAGUUGCAUUAAUCAAAGGUGUUGUUUACUUUCUUUUACAUUAAUAUUCUUUAGUAGUUUAAAUUAUAAUAGUUAUUAUUUACAGCUAGAUAUGAGUAGCUAAACUCAUAACUAGGCGUAUGGAAUUUAGAGUAGGAAUGACGAUAAUAGAUUCUUUACACUAAAAUCUUCUCAGGAAGGGUUGAUCCUUGUGUAUUAAGGUUCUUUUGUAAAGAUUGUUUUUAAAUGGUUGCAAACAUAAAGAACUUGUAUGUAAUCUGACUUGCUUGACAAAAGAAAUUAAGGUUAGGAAAAAGGAUCAUUAAUAGGGAUUUGGAGUUUUCAAUCUCCAUAUAAUAGUUUGAGCUAGAGAUAGAAUAGCUAACCUGAAGCUUUUGGUGAAUGGACAAAUUAAUUUGACACCCAAGUGCUAGCAAGGACAUAGGGUGAUAUUCUCUUAAUUGGGCCGAGAGAUUUUAGGAGACAUAGUUUCGUCAGUUUUGCAAUGAAGAGGAACAAAAAUGGUUGCUUUCCAAUCAAACGCUUGGAAGUUUUCGUGUCCCUCAAAAGUCUAAAGAGAACUUUACUCUACUGGAGAGAAUCGUUAAUUGUCAGUCAUAUACAAUAAUUUAGUUGGAACUUGGAACUAUUUAUUGUUACAAUUGUAUGUUUCUUCACUUCUUAAUACACCAAGCAUAUUUUCCCUCAAUUAGUUUUUUUUUUAUUUUUUCAUUUAAUGUGCAGUGGAUAUUUGUUCUAAUUGUGUGUUUCUUCUUUUACAGGCUAAAUUUAUUUAAAAAGAAUUAACUGAAACUCUAUUAUCUUUAGUCAAAUAAAAAGUUUCCUAACUAAUGGAAUUCCAAGUGUGUAUUUGUUUUGUUUCUUCUUUAGAUACAAUGCAUAUUUAUUCUAAUUGUGUAUUUUUCUUUAUCUAGCCAAAUCUAUAGAAAAGAAACUUGGCUACACCACAUGUUUUUAGCCAUCUAAAAGGGUUUUACCCGAAAUAAUGGAGAUUCAACUUAUUUUUCUUUUUAUUUCAUAUUUAGAUGCAAAGACCAUUUAUUACAACUGUGUACUUUUUCUUUUCGAGAAAUAUCUGCAAAUCAAAAUUUAGCGCUUUAUUAUUUUACGCCAAAUACAAGUUCAAAACAGUAAAUAUUCAUUUGUGUAUUUCUUUUUAUUUCAUCUUUUUUUAUGACUGUGGUGUUCGGGCUAGCUUUCGUGCGCCUCACUAAUUCUACGUGAUCCCUACCACCUACCACCAACAACAGGUACCAGGUAACUUUGUCCACCAAUGAUAGGCUAGAUAGGAAGAAUCACCUAGUGAUUUUUGUCUCCGGUUUCUUAUUAUUUCAUCUUUAAUGCAAUGAACUGGCAUUUCCUCUUUAUCGGGCCAAAAAAGAAAGAAUUUGGGUGACACUCCAUUAUGUUUAGUCAAAUAAAAAGAUUAGCUUAAACAAUGGAAUUCCAAACAGGUUUUUACAAAUUUGUCCCCAGGAAAUGAUCCUAAACAUUAAUGAAUAAAGCUCAUCUUGUCUAAGACAACCAUAACCACCCAUCUUGUUCAUCACUUCAUUUUGUAAAGGGACAUGUCAAAGUGUGAAAUUCUAAUGCUACAAACCUUAUUCUUCUACCUAAUUUCUAAGCGUAUCGAAGUCCUGGGACUCCAUUGCGGCAUUAAGUAAGGAGUUGGAAAAAAGUUUACCCGCAUUGGCAUUUCUAAGAAAAUGAAAGACUUUGAAAGAAGGCUUGUCUAUCCCCUUAGAAGAAUAAGGGUCGUAGGGAUAGGACUAAUAAAGUCAAGCCUUAUCUUAAUCUUGCAAGUCUGUUUGUGUGCAUGUCUGCUUUCUUGUUCUCAAGACGGCUUUUCAACGCAUUACCUAGUUGAAUAACUUAUCUUAGUCUGCUUUUUAGGUUCUUGCACCUUAUCCACCUUAUUGAGGUUGGAAUGUGAUAUUUGCCUUCUUAUCCAAAUCUAUCAACACUUUCUCAUCUCGUGCAAAGCGCUAACUAUCUGAAAGAGGGUACGGAGUUGAUCCUCAAACCAUAAGGAUGCAGCUCAUCCUUGGUGAAAGAGAGCACAAAUAGUAAAUCAAAACUUCAACCCUCAUGGCUCCAAUUUCUGAUUUCCUUAUUCUUAAGUUUCCUAGCUUCUAUAAUUUGUAACUCCAUUUAGCCAAAAUUCUCUUUGGGUUCCUUUCUUCUUCAAAAAUUGGAGGCCUUUAGCCCUUUACCACCAUGAUUUUUGUGGAUUCUACAAGUGUGAUAAAUAAUCAAAAAGCACUGAAUUUUCACGACAAUCUUAUAUGUUAGUAAAGACGCCAGAAACUGUUUUUUCUUCUCUCUUUUUUUUGGGUCACUCAAACAUUUAGUCCAUAGAGCCUAAAAUGAAGCAAAAGACAUAACCCAUAUGGGUUUUGACGCGAAAUGCAAAAAUUCUCCAACUUUAAACACAUAUUGACUGCACAUGAUAGGCUAAUUGGUUUCAAACUCAUAGCUUGUGGAAAGAACCAACUCAACAAACAAGCCACUAUAUUGUGGACCAAACAGGAAGACAAUACUCAGAGGCUAAAGUGAUUAGAUAUUUCCAAAAUAACUUCAAGACUUUGCCAUUUAUGAACAUCCAAUAACUUCUCAACCUCUCAUCUCCAAUUUACGCUGAAAACUGUUGAUGUAAUACCAGAUUAAUUAAAGAUUUUUCAUAGCCAACUAUCAUGCUAUUCUAAAACAUUAUUUGUAGAACAAUUUCAAUCAUUGUCAGGAAGCUCGUGUACUUAUCAAAAUUCAAUUAAGCCUCCAGUAAAGCAUUUAUAGCAUUCCAAUAAAGGCUUGUGAUCUCACAUCUAAAAUACAAAUCACUUCUCUUAGGUGCUAAACAUCGACCAAGCUCAACAAUGGAUUGCCUUCCAUAUAUUUCAUAACAUGUUUUUCCCGAAAAUAUGUGCAUGUCCUUUACCAGCUGUGAAGAAGCAUAUGUCUACAAUCUUGAGCUCUUAUCUUUUACCCAAUGAGUAACUUAAGUUGACAUUGCACAACUACAGAAGGCUCAAAUUUCACAAUAACAGCAGUAAAGAGGAUGCAAUGUUGAAAAGUGAGGCUUGAGAGAAAUAAUUGAUCCACGGCUUCUGGGUGUCUAUUUACGAAUCUGAUUCUAGAAGGGCUCCCAAUAACCUUUAUUUCCACCUUUAAGUAACACAGCAAUCUGUUAUGUUCGCUAUAUUACAUUAUGUUUCAAAAGAAUACAAUAGGCAAAAACAAUAACAUGUAACUAACCUGUUCUGCUUAAAGCAUUCAAAUCCAUAUAUAUCCAAAACUCCAAUUUGUAUCAGGGAAUCAGGAUCUUGCCCAACAGAUCUGUUGAUUUUUUCAACUAACCUGAAACAAGCAAGCGAUGUACAAUACUCUUAUAUAAUCAACUUAUAUAAGUAGAACAUUGACUAUUGGAUGCCAUAAAGGAUUUUGGGUUACCAAUCGAAUAAUUGGGCAUAAACAGUUUUCGCUAAAGUAUCACGUCCUGCAACAGCAGCACCACAAUCAAGAGCCUUAAUGAUGAUUCCUUCGUAAGUUUGAAUUGAUCUUGUACAAAGUGUGGUCACCAACAGUUGAACGUCACACCUUAAAGAAAGAGGAAUUGGGGAUCAGUUGGACUGUCAAGACGUUAAGUAAAACAGGAAACUUAACACCCUUAUAAAGCAAUACGACAGAGCUUGAAAGGUUUCAAAUAAUAUCAAUACUGAAGUCCCAAGACAAGAAAUGUAAAGAAGGUAAAGAUAAACAGAAGUCAGCAAUCCCUCAAGGCGGUACAAAUACCACUAAAUCCAAGCAUGGUGAAUAAGAGAGACCAGUCUUACAGUUCAACAAAACUCCAGUUACCUACCCUCUUUUUGAGAGUUCUGAGUUUGAAUCUUCACGUCCCCUAGGCUACAUUUUUUAAAAUAUUAAAUUUUUAUCAAGCAAAAGUUAAAAUAAAAACCCAUAAAUUAGUCCUAUCCUAUAAGACAACAUACACAGUGCUAUCCUUUCCUAAAUAUUUUUCUAAGAUGUCUUAAAAUCAGGAAUAAUGCCAAUACAGAACAGAAAGCAAGAAAAAAAAAUGAAAAGCUAUUGCAAUAACUAUUGAAGAUGACAUAUUGAUUAUAACGAAUUGCCAACUACAUAAAACAGAGAGACAUAUUGAGUGUACCGCAACCAUUUCACCGAUACAAACUGUACAAAUCAAAAUUGAGUAAUGAACAUUAUUCUAAGAUAAAAAAAGCAUCGUUCGCUAAGAGCCGAAGAAGCUUAAGAGAGCGGGCAAUAUAUAAUUAUUUGUCAAGGGAGAAAGAUCAUCAAAGAGAUGAUAAAGGACGUGAUAAUCAUUCAUCAACCAGCAAAAUCAUCAGCAAAUCAGAGAAACAAAAAGCUUAAAUGUGUUGCCAGGAAGAGGAGGAGGAGAAGAAAAACUUACUUAAAAAGCUUAGCAGCCAUCUGUAAAUGAGACCUAGACUUUUCAUCUUUUAUAACUGAUGAAUCAUGUUCUUUGCCCGGAGAGAAUUCUAUGUUUCCUAGAUGUAGAAUGGCUGCCAAUGUACGAAAUAUUGCUUCCUGGUAUUAAAAGAACGAUGCAAUGUAGUAAUUAGUGAUGUAGAAUAGGAAUGCUACUAAAUACAGAAAUACUGAUUAGGAUAACAAACUACAGUUGCAGAACCUGUUCCUCCUGACUAAUUCCAACAAUAUCCAUAGCUCUCCUUGUCUUGGUGUACUCCUCAGCAUUGCUAACUCCAUCUAGCUCAUAGGUUUUGCUCUGGUUCAAGUAGUGAAAGUCACUAGGAUGACCCAGCUUGUAUUUCUCAGCAUCCUGAAGAAGUAAGAACAUAGAAAUGAAAUAACCUUAAACUUUCUCUGAUGGUCAAAUCGCAUAAAUUGGCCACUUAGAACAAUUUAAAUGUGCACAUCAAUGUCACCACAUUGAAGUUAAUACACUCACAAGGAAAAGAAUAUUAGAACACACAUUUCACCUAGGACAUAAAGAAUAUCAUGAAUUAAACAUCAUAACUGAGCACACGGAGGGUAGAAAAUACCAUUCCAGAUGCACAUAAUUGAUAAAAGCAGUGAUAAUUCCUCUCUGGAUCUGUUAGCUGAACAACACGAGAUCUCUCCAGAAGAUAAGUCCGAAUUGCAGCUCCAGAUAUUCUACCACUUGCAUCAAAUUGGAUCUCAACAAACUUGCCAAAACGACUGCAAGAAACAAGGAUUAGAGGCAUUAAUCAUAAUUCAAUAGACCUCAAGAACAAUUUCCCCAUGUUCGAUAUCACUUUACUGAAUAAGUAUGAGUUCAAAGAUUCCAACAAACUAGAAAUAACCAGUUUCAUUGUAAGAAGGUGAAAGACAAGACAAGCAGAGAUUCCAUAUAAAGGACAAAACAAUGCUCUUAAAAAAGACUACAAAACCACCUUCCCUGCUGAAAUAAUGAACAUCACUGAUUGCAUCAAACGAUACAUGUUAGCAAGACCACCAUUAGUAGUUGAAAACACACCUUGAAUUGUCAUUCCUAAUAGUACGUGCAUUGCCAAAGGCCUCCAGCAAUGGGUUAGACUAGACCAAAAAUGAAAAAGGAUUAAGAAUUAGCAACAUAAACUUUUUGAACUGUAAAAUAAUCAACCAAAUUCAAUCAUCAAUGGAACUUGCAAAAAAAAAAAAAAAAAAAANNNNNNNNNNNNNNNNNNNNNNNNNNNNNNNNNNNNNNNNNNNNNNNNNNNNNNNNNNNNNNNNNNNNNNNNNNNNNNNNNNNNNNNNNNNNNNNNNNNNNNNNNNNNNNNNNNNNNNNNNNNNNNNNNNNNNNNNNNNNNNNNNNNNNNNNNNNNNNNNNNNNNNNNNNNNNNNNNNNNNNNNNNNNNNNNNNNNNNNNNNNNNNNNNNNNNNNNNNNNNNNNNNNNNNNNNNNNNNNNNNNNNNNNNNNNNNNNNNNNNNNNNNNNNNNNNNNNNNNNNNNNNNNNNNNNNNNNNNNNNNNNNNNNNNNNNNNNNNNNNNNNNNNNNNNNNNNNNNNNNNNNNNNNNNNNNNNNNNNNNNNNNNNNNNNNNNNNNNNNNNNNNNNNNNNNNNNNNNNNNNNNNNNNNNNNNNNNNNNNNNNNNNNNNNNNNNNNNNNNNNNNNNNNNNNNNNNNNNNNNNNNNNNNNNNNNNNNNNNNNNNNNNNNNNNNNNNNNNNNNNNNNNNNNNNNNNNNNNNNNNNNNNNNNNNNNNNNNNNNNNNNNNNNNNNNNNNNNNNNNNNNNNNNNNNNNNNNNNNNNNNNNNNNNNNNNNNNNNNNNNNNGUGUGCAUCUCACUACAGCGAAGGAAAACACUGAAAAAAGAACCAUGAGGAUGAUCUCCAAGCAACAAGAAUUGAGGUAGCAAUCACGACCUAAUUCACAUUAGAACUUGAUUUGAUGAUGACAGAAGACUAGGCAAGAAACUAAUUGUAGCAAUGAAAGUAAAGGACACUACAAUUUAUUCGACAAGCUUUAGAGUGUCAUAUGCAUAUUGGAUGAAGAAAGAAUGCAGUUAAUUCACGUGUAAGAGGAAGGUUGAUUCUUGGUAUGGUAAUGGAAUAAGAUGUUUGGUUCUUUACAUCUGGAAAAGGAAGGAUGCCGUCCCUCCCAGUCUGAGCCACAUUAGCUUCCUGACGGGAACAUUCAUUAUUGCAUGCAGAUCUAUCAUGAAGCGACCAACAGGCUUCUCUCAUAUGACAUCCCCCAACACCAUAUGUGAAAUGCUUUGACCUCUAUUCCUUUCUUUCGUGGGUGCAUUCUGCAAACUGUUAGACUCAACCGCCAUCCAAUAAGUUUCUGGAGAUGUUACCUCGGGUGUAAUUGAGACGCAUAGAAGUCUGGAUGAAAACAUCCUCCAAAGUAACAAUAGAUGGACUAUUGAGAAUUCAUCUAAAACUGAGCUAUGAUCCAAUCUCAGUCAGAUGAGAGCAAAAACCAAAGAGGAUAUGUCUUUUUAUUUCUCCUUAUCAGUGUUUUUUAAGCGCGUGUAAGCCCUAAAGCGAGGCUCAAAACGUGUUGUAACAUUUUUCCUCGCUUAAUGUGGUUUUGCGAAGUACGUGAUUUUUUUAUAAUAUCACGUACUAAGGAGGCACAAACCCCUCAUGAAUAUGGAUACUGUGAAAGUAUAUAACAAGCCUUUAGCCAGAAGUCAAGCCUCUCAAACAAUUCAAAAUUGAAAAUGGGCAUAGAAAACAAGUUAUUGAGUGAUUCAUAGUGAGAGAAAAAGACCCCAAUAUAUUAUACUUGGUAGUGCACUGCAUGCAACUAUAGCAGAUCUGAGAAAGGAAUUUAUUUACAAUAAGAAGAAUAAACUUGUCAAAUUGGAAAUAGGACGGUCUCAAUUUGGAGAAGAAAUGGCUUAAUGAACACAAUGACAUGUUAGAGUCAAUAAAUGAUAAUAAAGGUAUUUAUACUGCCAAAUCUAGCUAUAAAAUUUUAUUUUCUAUACAACAGGGAGAGGUGACUGUAUAAGGCAAUCUGGGAAAGCAAGGCACCUCCUAAGGUGGCACGCUUUUGGUGGAUUGCAAUCAACAAAACUUGCCUCUCACAGGAUAACCUAAUGAAGUGGAGUAUUUUACUGUAAAAUAGAUGUCAUACGUGUGAAGUUGAAGAAAAAACUAUAGCUAGUUUCUUCCAUAGCUCAUAAAGAAGAAUGUUAUCUGUACUCUGACCCAAUUGAAAGCUGCACUUUCUUGAUGUUUGGUGAAUAAUAAGUCAUACCUGACUGCUUCUUUCAAGUUCUUUUUUAAUAUUAAAAAUAAAAGUUGCUCUCACUAACGGAGACAACAAUAGUCCUUGAAAAAAUAGUACAUGAGAUGAAGUAAUUGAAAAAGACAUUCUAAUGAAGCUAAUAGAUCACCAAGCAAUCAGUCUUAGUGGGAGACGCUCUAUGUCGACAUGCCGAACAAAAAUUGACACCCUUCAAAGAAAAUAAUAGAAAGGACCCUAAUAAUUGAAAUUCCUAAAGUUGCAAACAGAAUCACCAUUUGAUGUUUUGCCUAUAAAACCAGUAAGCAGCAGUACCUCGAGAACUUGUUGUUCAACUGUUCGGUCAUCAGCAGCAGCACGACCACCAACAUAGGUAAGGUAUUGCAUUAUCAACUUUGUGGUCUCCGUUUUCCCUGCUCCACUUUCGCCGCUAACCAAUAUAGAUUGGCUUUGGUUCUCAGACAUCAUAGCCCUAACAAGGAAAAUUUGAGCAAAAACAAAUCACUAAUUGAUUCACUUUAGGUAAACGUCACCAGAUCCCCAAAUGACAAGUCAACAAACCUGUACGAUGCAUCAGCCACAGCAAACACAUGAGGGCUAAGCUCACCAAACGGAGCUCCUUUAUAUUGCUCCAUCAUGUGUACAUUGUACAGAUGUGGAAGUUUAGUGAAUGGAUUGACAGCUAUUAAGAUGCUUCCUGUAUAUGUCUAUUUAAGGAAAAAAGGGGGAAAUCAAUUAUGUUGCAACGCACCCUGUAGGAUGAUGGUGUUAGAGCAUAUGAGAAAAUGGUUAUUUAAGCUAAUGAAGACAAAAAAUGCACCUGAUGAAACCCAACCAGGCGAACGAUGAUUCUUAAAUAAAGCACGUAAUUUGAUGACAGUAGCUUUUGGUUCAACAUUUAGGUAAGCACAACAUAUGUCUGUUAAAGAAUGACAAAAGUCCCACAUCGGUGGUUAAUGAGAUGGAUGGACUCCUUAUAAGGCUUGGGCAAUCCUCCUCCCUUUGAGCUAGCUUUUGGGGUGUGAGUUAGGCCUAAGACCUAAUUUAACAUGGUAUCAGAGUCUCUACGAACUUGGUAGAGAAUUAAAGAGCUUCCGCUGCCGGCGGGUGGCACCCAUAUAUGCUGCCCGUCUGGCCAAUGAUUAUGUUAGCAAAAAGUUGGGUCACCAUGCAUCAUUCUAGUGACACUUUUUUUAUAUCUAAUUUGUGUAGCACCGUGCCAUCAUUCCGGUGACUACUUUUUCAUAUUUAAUUUGUGUAGCACUGUGCCAUCAUUCUGGUGACUACUUUUUCAUAUCUAGUUUGUGUAGUACUGUGCCAUCAUUCCAGUGACUACUUUUUCAUAUAUAAUUUGUGUAGCACCGUACCAUCCUUCCGGUGACACCUUUUUUUGCAUAUCUGAUUUGCGUAGCACCGUGCAUCUCUCCGGACUACUUUUCAUAUUUAAUUUGUGUAGUACCGUGAAUUUUUCCGAACUAUUUCUCAUAUCUGAGUAGCAUAGCAUCAUGUGUCUUUUCAGUGACUCAGAUUUGAUUUGCAUAGUUCCAUUCGUCAUUCCGGUGACUCCUUAAAUCUGAUUUGCAUAGGGUUGUGCCAUCAUUCCAACCCUACCCGUAUAAUUUUCUUUUUCAGUAGGGUUGUGCCAUCAUUCCGACCCUACCC